UUUAGAAUUGCCUCACUUUCCUCUCCUAUUAGGCUAUUACACAAUAAUUUACUUAUAAUUACCAACAUAACUCUGAAGAAUCUCUCUGCGUUUCAUUCUUUUCAUCUAGGGGAAGAUUAAUAAAGCAGGAAAAGUAUCUCAAAUACUUAUUUGUAUUUCAUGUAACCAGGCUAGCAAAAUCUUUUAUUCCAGGUACCAUCAGAGCAGAUAUAUCUUUUAGUUGGAUGUGAAAGAUGAGUUGGCUCCAUGCAAAUAGAGCUGAAAGGAAAAUUAGUCCAUCUUGAUAGUGUUGUCUACCCUUCGGAUAGGGGUAAGGUCUGCAUACAUAUUACCCUCCCCAGACCCCACUUGUGGGAUUAUACUGAGUCGUUGUUGUUGUUGUUGAUGAUAGUGUUGUCUCAAAACCUGUCAUACCCGAUGGCCGUAGGAAUAUCCUUUGCCCGCUAGAGCCUAGAAGGUGAAAAGGCAUCUGAAAAGAGUUUGUUUUUUUAAAGAACAUUGUUUAUGCGAACUAAUCGCUUGGAUAUGAUAUUGUUUAUUAUGUUUACUCCAAUGCUAAGUUUAUAGGUACAAAACCUUAUCUUGUAAAAUAUAGAUGUACUAUCUCUA